AUUCCAUGAUGAGGACAUCUCCUGAGUAGCUCCGUGAAUUUUUUCCAUGCAUCAUACAAUUUUUCAUCUUCAAGUUGAUGGAAGAUGUGAUCUCAUUCCUCAAUUU
rnacentral:snoRNA from 1 species